rnacentral:rRNA from 1 species
UACGGAGGGUGCAAGCGUUAAUCGGAAUUACUGGGCGUAAAGCGCACGCAGGUGGCUGAGUCAGUCGAUUGUGAAAGCCCUGGGCUUAACCUGGGAAUUGCAGUCGAUACUACUCAGCUAGAGUAUGGGAGAGGGCAGUGGAAUUCCCGGUGUAGCGGUGAAAUGCGUAGAUAUCGGGAGGAACAUCAGUGGCGAAGGCGGCUGCCUGGCCCAAUACUGACACUCAGGUGCGACAGCGUGGGGAGAAAACAGG